rnacentral:rRNA from 1 species
UACAGAGGUCUCAAGCGUUGUUCGGAUUCAUUGGGCGUAAAGGGUGCGUAGGCGGCGCGGUAAGUCGGGUGUGAAAUCUCGGAGCUUAACUCCGAAACUGCAUUCGAUACUGCCGUGCUUGAGGACUGGAGAGGAGACUGGAAUUUACGGUGUAGCGGUGAAAUGCGUAGAGAUGUGGAGGAACACCAGUGGCGAAGGCGACUCUUUGGUCUGUAACUGACGCUGAGGCGCGAAAGCGUGGGGAGCAAACAGG